CAAUAGCGUAUAUUAAAGUUGUUGCAGUUAAAAAGCUCGUAGUUGGAUUUCGGGGCAGCCUGGCUGGUCCGCCGCAAGGCGAGUACUGGUCAGCCGCCCUUCCUCUCGAAAGCCCCGACUGCUCUUUACUGUAGUGGUCGGGUAGUUCGGGACGUUUACUUUGAAAAAAUUAGAGUGUUCAAGACAGGCCUACGCCUGAAUACAUUAGCAUGGAAUAAUGGAAGAGGACCUCGGUCCUAUUUUGUUGGUUUCCAGGGCCGAAGUAAUGAUUAAGAGGGACAGUUGGGGGCAUUCGUAUUUAAUUGUCAGAGGUGAAAUUCUCGGAUUUAUGAAAGACGAACAACUGCGAAAGCAUUUGCCAAGGAUGUUUUCAUUAA
rnacentral:rRNA from 1 species